AAAAUAACUGAACUUUUAUAUAAAAUUUCAAGAAUUGGUAAUACAAAUCAUGAACAUUUAUGACUUGGAAUUUACAAAGCUUCUACGAAAUAAAUACAUCAUUUGUUAAAUAUAUUUGCAAUUCUAAAGCUACCAAGGACAAGUGACAGCUAUAACCAGAACGCAGUUACUUCUUCAAUGCCAGCUCCCGUGAUACACGACCUCAUUAGCUCCAAGAUCUGCACGUAAGGUGCAGAAGUGUAGUGUAAAACCGAUCCAUAUACUCAAUAAGUAACAAACCUAAAAUCGGGUUGAAAGCAACGACAAGCUCGUAAGAUAGUUUGAGUCCAACAUCAAAAACAAAUAAUAGUUCAUAACAGUAUAGAGAAGACAACAAAGGUAUAUAACUUAGGGGAUGAGAUAUGAAAAGGUAUACAUGCCUUUUAAGUAUAGCAGUCCCAGUUUAAAUCUUACCGUUGAAAUCAAUUAAACAUGAGUUUAUCAAAAGAACCGUGUUUUUCCUAAUUUACAACAUCAGAUACAACUUUUCAUUUACCAGUUAGCAUGAGAAAAAUGCAUCUCUAUGCCUACUUGUCAAAUAUACAUGUCAAGUAAUCAGAUGCUACGCUAUUGUCUAGCAUGAGAAAGGUACAUCUCUAAGCGCACAUGUGAAGUAAUCAAACGUCAUGUCAUGGUCUAGCAUGUGGAAGGUAUAUCUCUAUGCCUACAUGUCAAGUAUACUUGUCAACAAUUCAGUUUUCACAGUGGAAUCAUUAAGUACCCACAAUCUUAGCAAACUUCAGGUGCCUGGCUCAAAUGCCCCAACAUUAAUAUCACCAUGGAUCCAUUACAAUAAUCACACUUAGCAUUGUAUGGGUGCCUGUCAUAACUGCCCAUCAUCAAAGCACGUACAUGAAAUACUAUGCUUGCGCCCACUACUGGUAUGUCAGAUUCCGUAUGAUUACGGCUGAGGCAAAUAGCUCAAUAUGACGAAAAUAGCCCUAUCAUGUCUCAAAUAAUUAAGCAUGUGGCCUAAACAUGAUUUUAACAUUAAUAAUAUCUCACGAAGUCACAUAAAUAGAGAAGACAUAAAAUCAAGAAGCACGGUAGCAAAACAAGGUAUAUAAUAGCCUACUAACUACCAGAUCAUGAAUACCUCGGUGCACGCACCCGCACAUGUCACACCAAAUUUUUCCUACCCCCGGAAGGGGCAUAAGGGAGUUUUUUUAAAUUUAAGUGACAAUCGAAACGAGAUUAAUGUUUAGAUUCAGAGUCGCCACUUGGGAUAAUUUAUGGUGUCCCAAGUCACCGGUUUAAAUCCCGAAUCGAGGAAAGAUUGACUCUUUUUUAUAGUCUGCGAACACAGAAAUUCGGGUAAGGAAUUCUGUUAACCCGGGAGAAGGUGUUAGGCAUUCCCGAGUUCUGUGGUUUUAGCGCGGUCGCUCAACUAUUAUUAUUGGCCUAACUAUCUGAUUUCAAAACACUUUUAAACCUAUGUGCAAAUUUUAACCUUUUAGCCGCUUUUAAUAUUUUUAGGAAAAUUCAAAGUUAUUUAAAACACAUCGUAAGACGCGCUAAAUGAAAUGCACCCGCGGUUCACGACACGCUUUAUUUAACCCUGUUGGAAAUUGGAGUCAGGUCACAUAAAAUGUAUACCCGGAUUUGGAAAUUGGUAUCAUGACUAUGCUACGGGAACCGUACCCAUAACCACGAUGAUCAAUUAAUUAAACGCGCCUAAAGCAAUCUACGAGAGUUCAAGGAAUUUUCUACACUAGUUAAGAUACCGAUGUGAGGGCCAUAGACUAGGUGAUUGGAUGGUACACCUCAAAUCUAUUAAAGGAAAACGCAUUCAACUAAAUGAACUACGUAUAUUAAUGUUUAAAACUAAUUAGGUAUCACAACUACGCCACGGGAACCGUACCCGUAAUUGUGAUGAUUUAAUUACGUGCUUAAAGCAAAGUACGAAGGCUCAUGCUUACUUCUUAAAUGAAUUUGAGAUUAUUGAAGUUAUUGAUUAUGAAAAAAGAACUAGUGUGGCAGAAGUUGUGCAUGCUUUAGGUGUUAUACAUAGUCAAGCAUUCAAUUAUCAACCAACCAAAACAAGAUCAUUUGACAAACACAAAAUGAACAAACCAUUCUCAUAACACUAUGGCGUCCAAACAAUUACAUUAUCUGAAACUGAGGUCCAUACCUCAAUCAACGACACAACAUUUUAGAAGAGCCAAAUAAAGGCUGAAAAGAUGAUCGAAAUUCCGCCGCACAGGUUCAACAGAGAAACAUUUAAAGCUUGAUGAAACAACAACAAACAACAAAAUGAAGCUAAACCCAACAUUCUGAAUCCAGGCAAAAAGUGAAGCCAAAUCGCAGAUAAAGAAACUAACUGACAGAAUUCACAACGUGUAACUCCAAAUUCAUGUCAUCAAAACCAUGUAUAUGAAAUUAAAGGGAGAUAGCAAUUAACAAUAGCAAGGACUUCAUAAACAGAGCAUCGUAAAUAAACAGAAACAGAACAUGUAAAUGAAAGAAUCGAAACUCAGACCUUAAACCAGAAACAGUGAAUAACGAUCUCAAAUCGAACCUCGACGGAAGCCAAUAAACGGCAACAAUCUCGAACUCGCCGAAACUCAAGCUGGACCGGGACUAUACUGAUCCUGUUGCUCUUUGAAGCUAGGAGAUGUUGCUAUAUUUUUUAGUUAAGAGAAAGAAGGUCAAAAAGGAUCCUAAAGCUUCGAUAGGCAGCCCUGGUUAACUCGAGAUACCCUCACGCUUAGAUCCGGGUAUUGAUGGAAGAGUCUGGGUCUCUCUCCGAUUGAAUGUGUGUAGAUCGUGUGCGUGUUCCGGCGAGUUCGCCGCUGGUGAGGAGAGGAGGAGUGAAGGGUCGUU
rnacentral:lncRNA from 1 species